rnacentral:tRNA from 1 species
GGGUGCUUAGCUCAGUUGGUAGAGCGGCGCCCUUACAAGGCGUAGGUCGGGAGUUCGAGCCUCUCAGUACCCACCA